CGCCGCACUCGAAGAAAACCGGGUGCUGGUGACUGUCAGCCAUGUUCGGGCUGUUCAGGCGAGACGAGGUUGUCCGCCGUGUUCGGUUCGAAGAGCGGAGUGUGUUGACUGCCCGGUUCCUUCAACCAGCGCUCCGCCCAGAUGUACUUCGAGACAAAUGACGAUCAGAAAAAAUGGGCUGUGGCAUCACAACAUCUACAGCAGACGCUAACAGAAAAUACAAACAAACCCUAAAUACAACUGGAUUUGAACGAAACCACCGUGUGACUGUAGAUUCUGAGCGACCCAGACGUACCUGUGACAGAGAUCCUGGGCCACG